rnacentral:rRNA from 1 species
CACUGGCUCAGGACACGCUGGCGGCGUGCCUAAUACAUGCAAGUGGAACGCAUGAUUGAUACCGUAGCUUGCUACACCAUUAAUCAUGAGUCGCGAACGGGUGAGUAACGCGUAGGUAACCUGCCUACUAGCGGGGGAUAACUAUUGGAAACGAUAGCUAAUACCGCAUAAGAGUUUUUUAACACAUGUUAGAAAUUUAAAAGGAGCAAAUGCUUCACUAGUAGAUGGACCUGCGUUGUAUUAGCUAGUUGGUAAGGUAACGGCUUACCAAGGCGACGAUACAUAGCCGACCUGAGAGGGUGAUCGGCCACACUGGGACUGAGACACGGCCCAGACUCCUACGGGAGGCAGCAGUAGGGAAUCUUCGGCAAUGGGGGGAACCCUGACCGAGCAACGCCGCGUGAAGUGAAGAAGGUUUUCGGAUCGUAAAGCUCUGUUGUAAGAGAAGAACGUUGAGUAGAGUGGAAAGUUACUCAAGUGACGGUAUCUUACCAGAAAGGGACGGCUAACUACGUGCCAGCCGCCGC